GACGAACGCUGGCGGCGUGCUUAACACAUGCAAGUCGAACGAUGAAGCUGGAGCUUGCUCCGGUGGAUUAGUGGCGAACGGGUGAGUAACACGUGAGCAAUCUGCCCUUGACUCUGGGAUAACUGCGGGAAACUGUAGCUAAUACCGGAUAUGAGAUCUGAAGGCAUCUUCGGGUUUGGAAAGAAUUUCGGUCAAGGAUGAGCUCGCGGCCUAUCAGCUAGUUGGUGAGGUAAUGGCUCACCAAGGCGACGACGGGUAGCCGGCCUGAGAGGGUGACCGGCCACACUGGAACUGAGACACGGCCCAGACUCCUACGGGAGGCAGCAGUGAGGAAUAUUGGACAAUGGAGGAAACUCUGAUCCAGCCAUGCCGCGUGAGUGAAGAAGGCCUUCGGGUUGUAAAGCUCUUUUACCCCUGACGAUAAUGACGGUAAGGGGAGAAAAAGCCACGGCUAACUUCGUGCCAGCCGCCGCCGUAA
rnacentral:rRNA from 1 species